rnacentral:rRNA from 1 species
AUUGAACGCUGGCGGCAGGACUAACACAUGCAAGUCGAACGAGUGGCGGACGGGUGAGUAAUGUCUGGGAAAAUGCCUGAUGGAGGGGGAUCGCUACUGGAAAAGGUAGCUAAUACAGCAUCCCAUCGGAUGUGCCCCUAUGGGAUUAGCUAGUAGGUGGGGUAACGGCUCAACUAGGCGACGAUCCCUAGCUGGUCUGAGAGGAUGACCGGCCAAACUGGAACUGCGACACGGUCCAGACUCCUCAGGGAGGCAGCAGUGGGGAAUAUUGCACAAUGGGAGCAAGCCUGAUGCAGCAAUGCCGCGUGGAUGAAGAAGGCCUUCGGGUUGUAAAGUACUUUCAGCGGGGAGGCGUUACCCGCAGAAGAAGCACCGGCUAACUCCGUGCCAGCAGCCGCGGUAAUUC